AUUGAACGCUGGCGGCAGGCCUAACACAUGCAAGUAGAACGAGUGGCGGCCGGAUGAGUAAUGUCUGGGAAACUGCCUGAUGGAGGGGGAUAACUACUGGAAACGGUAGCUAAUACCGCCACCCAUCGGAUGUGCCCAGAUGGGAUUAGCUAGUAGGUGGGGUAAAGGGUCACCUAGCCGACGAUCCCUAGCUGGUCUGAGAGGAAGACCAUCCUCAUGGAGAGUGAGUCUAGGCCCAGAAUCCUAAGGGAGGCAGCAGUGGGGAAUAUUGCACAAUGGGUGAAAGCCUGAUGCAGCCAUGCGGCGGGUAUGAAGAAGGCCUUCGGGUUGUAAAGUACUUUCAGCGGGGAGGCGUUACCCGCAGAAGAAGCACCGGCGAACUCCGUGCCAGCAGCCGAGGUAAGAC
rnacentral:rRNA from 1 species